UUGGAGGGCAAGUCUGGUGCCAGCAGCCGCGGUAAUUCCAGCUCCAAUAGCGUAUAUUAAAGUUGUUGCAGUUAAAAAGCUCGUAGUUGAAUUUUAGGCUUGGUUGGACGGUCUGCCUUAGGGUUUGUACUGUCCUGGCUGGGUCUUACCUUCUGGUAAACUGUCGUGUCGUUUAUUCGGCGCGGCAGGGAACCAGGACUUUUACUUUGAAAAAAUUAGAGUGUUUAAAGCAGGCUUCUCGCUUGAAUACAUUAGCAUGGAAUAAUAGGAUAGGACUUUUGGUUCUAUUUUGUUGGUUUCUAGGACCGAAGUAAUGAUUAAUAGGGAUAGUUGGGGGCAUUAGUAUUUAAUUGUCAGAGGUGAAAUUCUUGGAUUUAUUGAAGACUAACUACUGYGAAAGCAUUUGCCAAGGWUGUUUUCAUUAAUCAAGAACGAAAGUUAGGGGAUCGAAGACGAUCAGAUACCGUCGUAGUCUUAACCAUAAACUAUGCCGACUAGGGAUCGGAUGAUGUUAAUUUUUUAAUGAUURRRKRCGGCGCCUUACGGGAAAC
rnacentral:rRNA from 1 species